rfam:Oryza meridionalis cultivar OR44 (W2112) chromosome 6, whole genome shotgun sequence.
AAAAAAACAAACCCUGAGUUUCCGUGUCCAACAUUUGACCUUCCGUCUUAUUUGAAAAAACUAUGAAAAAAAUUAAAAAGAUAAGUCACGAUCAUCUAACAACAAUGAAAAUAUUAAUUAUAAAAAAAAUUCAUAUAAGACGGACAGUCAAACGUUGGACAAGAAAACCUAGGGUUUGUCUUUUU